rnacentral:rRNA from 1 species
GACGAACGCUGGCGGCGUGCUUAACACAUGCAAGUCGAACGGAAAGGCCCUGCUUUUGUGGGGUGCUCGAGUGGCGAACGGGUGAGUAACACGUGAGUAACCUGUCCUUGACUUUGGGAUAACUUCAGGAAACUGGGGCUAAUACCGGAUAGGAGCUCCUGCUGCAUGGUGGGGGUUGGAAAGUUUCGGCGGUUGGGGAUGGACUCGCGGCUUAUCAGCUUGUUGGUGGGGUAGUGGCUUACCAAGGCUUUGACGGGUAGCCGGCCUGAGAGGGUGACCGGCCACAUUGGGACUGAGAUACGGCCCAGACUCCUACGGGAGGCAGCAGUGGGGAAUAUUGCACAAUGGGCGGAAGCCUGAUGCAGCAACGCCGCGUGCGGGAUGACGGCCUUCGGGUUGUAAACCGCUUUCGCCUGUGACGAAGCGUGAGUGACGGUAAUGGGUAGAGAAGCACCGGCUAACUACGUG